AGUUGCGGAUGAGCAUGCGUCUGAUUAGCUAGUUGGCGGGGUAAUGGCCCACCAAGGCGAUGAUCAGUAGGGGAACUGAGAGGUUGAUCCCCCACACUGGCACUGAGAUACGGGCCAGACUCCUACGGGAGGCAGCAGUAGGGAAUAUUGGACAAUGGGUGAAAGCCUGAUCCAGCCAUGCCGCGUGCAGGAAGAAGGCCUUCUGGGUUGUAAACUGCUUUUAUCUGGGGAUAAAAAGGACUUGCGAGGCAAACUGAAGGUACCAGAUGAAUAAGCCACGGCUAACUACGUG
rnacentral:rRNA from 1 species